rnacentral:rRNA from 1 species
ACCCCUACUCUUACGGGAGGCAGCAGUGGGGAAUAUUGGACAAUGGGCGAAAGCCUGAUCCAGCCAUGCCGCGUGUGUGAAGAAGGUCUUCGGAUUGUAAAGCACUUUAAGUUGGGAGGAAGGGUUGUAGAUUAAUACUCUGCAAUUUUGACGUUACCGACAGAAUAAGCACCGGCUAACUCUGUGCCAGCAGCCGCGGUAAUACAGAGGGUGCAAGCGUUAAUCGGAAUUACUGGGCGUAAAGCGCGCGUAGGUGGUUUGUUAAGUUGGAUGUGAAAUCCCCGGGCUCAACCUGGGAACUGCAUCCAAAACUGGCGAGCUAGAGUAUGGUAGAGGGUGGUGGAAUUUCCUGUGUAGCGGUGAAAUGCGUAGAUAUAGGAAGGAACACCAGUGGCGAAGGCGACCACCUGGACUGAUACUGACACUGAGGUGCGAAAGCGUGGGGAGCAAACAGGAUUAGAUACCCUGGUAGUCCACGCCGUAAACGAUGUCAACUAGCCGUUGGGAGCCUUGAGCUCUUAGUGGCGCAGCUAACGCAUUAAGUUGACCGCCUGGGGAGUACGGCCGCAAGGUUAAAACUCAAAUGAAUUGACGGGGGCCCGCACAAGCGGUGGAGCAUGUGGUUUAAUUUGAAGCAACGCGAAGAACCUUACCAGGCCUUGACAUCCAAUGAACUUCCUAGAGAUGGAUUGUGCCUUAGGGC